AAGAAUGCAAAAUAUUUUUAAACCUCUCCUUUAGGAAGGAGACACUUGGAGUAUGCUUUGUGGAGGGUUCGUGGCAUGUGAUCGACCCACAUGAAUUAGACAAAAUUUCUCUAAGUAUCAUUAUUUACUUCUUCUUUAAUCAGAUGAUACUGAAUAAAAAAUAGCAUAGAACAAAAAAACCUUGCUCCUCCUUAAAAAAAAACAGAGGAUUAUCUUCUCAAAAACUUCACCCAUUCAUCACUUACCAUCACAUAACCUCUUUCCACUCUCUUC
rnacentral:lncRNA from 1 species